GUAGGUGAACCUGCGGAAGGAUCAUUAUAGUGCAACGAAGGCACCUGGGCUGUCGCCGUCCUUAAGGACGUGCACGCCCAGAGUGCUCUCUCACGUCCAUCUCACCCCUUUGUGCAUCACCGCGUGGGGCCCUCUCUUUUGACUUGUUCCGGAGGGGGGGUUUCACGUUUUUACACAAACAACCCAUUAAUGCAUGUGCAGAAUGUCUUACUUUUUGCGGUCACACGCAAUCAAUACAACUUUCAACAACGGAUCUCUUGGCUCUC
rnacentral:misc_RNA from 1 species